AGGACGAACGCUGGCGGCGUGCUUAAAACAUGCAAGUCGAACGAGACCUUUGGUCUAGUGGCGAACGGCGGAGUAAUACAUAAGCAACCUGCCUCAAAGACCGGGAUAGCCCCUCGAAAGAGGGAUUAAUACCGGAUGUGGCCUUUGUGGGCAUCCACGAAAGAUUAAAAACGAGCAAUCGGCUUUGAGAGGGGCUUGUGGCCUAUCAGCUAGUUGGUGGGGUAAUGGCCUACCAAGGCAUCGACGGGUAGCGGGUCUGAGAGGAUGAUCCGCCCGACUGGGACUGAGACACGGCCCAGACUCCUACGGGAGGCAGCAGUUGGGAAUCUUGCACAAUGGGCGAAAGCCUGAUGCAGCGACGCCGCGUGGAGGACGAAGUCUUUCGGGAUGUAAACUCCUUUUGCCAGGAACGAUAAUGACGGUACCUGGUGAAUAAGCCCCGGCUAACUACGUGCCAGCAGCCGC
rnacentral:rRNA from 1 species